rnacentral:lncRNA from 1 species
UUCCUUGUCGCUCACAUUCUUUGCGCAUUGGAUGACCCUCAAGCUUUUUCCAAGGAAGUACCGGAACCGACCUGUCACGGAGCGAGCAGUCAAAUGGCGGGAACAGACCCAGAGGCAAGGUCCCACGGGGGCGUGGGGCGCCGAGCGAGGCGCUUGAAAGGCACAAGCAUUGGAGACCAGCUGCCUCCACAAUCAUGCCCCCCCUGCUUUCCUGGUAGUUGCUGUCAUUGUACCAAAAAGUGCAUAAGGGGUGGACGUUACUUAACUAUCAUUUCAAUCCUGGGGACAUAGAGUCAUUGCUAACCAGGGCCGGUCACUGCUAGCCAAAACAAGACUUCAUAGGUGCAUAUCAGAGAGCAGGUUCGGCUUCCUGGCAGCGCCAUCGACCUCCCA